rnacentral:rRNA from 1 species
UGGCGGACGGGUGGGUAAUGCUUGGGAAUCUGGCUUAUGGAGGGGGAUAACGACGGGAAACUGUCGCUAAUACCGCGUAGAAUCGAGAGAUGAAAGUGCGGGACCGCAAGGCCGCAUGCCAUAGGAUGAGCCCAAGUGGGAUUAGGUAGUUGGUGGGGUAAAGGCCUACCAAGCCGACGAUCUCUAGCUGGUCUGAGAGGAUGACCAGCCACACCGGGACUGAGACACGGCCCGG